GGUGGAGUAUGUGGUUUAAUUCGAUGCAACGCGAAGAACCUUACCUGGUCUUGACAUCCCGGAGAUCUCCUGGAAACAGGAGAGUGCUUUCAUUAGAGAGAAUCCGGUGACAGGUGCUGCAUGGCUGUCGUCAGCUCGUGUCGUGAGAUGUUGGGUUAAGUCCCGCAACGAGCGCAACCCUCGCCAUUAGUUGCCAUCAUUUAGUUGGGCACUCUAAUGGGACUGCCGGUGUCAAACCGGAGGAAGGUGGGGAUGACGUCAAGUCCUCAUGGCCUUUAUGACCAGGGCUACACACGUACUACAAUGGCCGACACAAAGGGCAGCCACAGAGCGAUCUGGAGCGAAUCCCGUAAAGUCGGUCUCAGUCCGGAUUGGAGUCUGCAACUCGACUCCAUGAAGUUGGAAUCGCUAGUAAUCGUGGAUCAGCAUGCCACGGUGAAUACGUUCCCGGGCCUUGUACACACCGCCCGUCACACCACGGAAGUCGGUUGUACCAGAAGUAGUUGAGCGAACCUUUUUUAGGAAGCAGGCUACCAAGGUAUGGCUGGUAACUGGGGUGAAGUCGUAACAAGGUA
rnacentral:rRNA from 1 species